CUCCCAAAGUGCUAGGAUUACAGGCGUGAGCCACUGUGCCCAGCCUGGUAUGAUUCCAUUUAAACAAAAUAUCCAGAGUAGGUAAACCCACAGAGACAAAAAGUGGUUGGUGGUACCCCGGAGCUGGGAUAGGCAAAAUCACACACGCAGGGCCACAACCCACACCCACUCGGAGAUGUUCCAGGAACAAUCUCAGGAACCUGCAUUUGUAAAAAUCCUCCCCAAUACCCCAUCAGAACACAGAGCCACUGGUCUAUGGGCCAGGAGCCCAAGACCUGAGAACAAUCCUAGUUUCUUCAACAACUAGCAACAUGACUGGGCAACUCACACCCACCUCUGCUCAUCUUCUAAACUGUAAAUCAGAGUCCAUAUGGCUUGUAUUAUUCACAAGGUUUUUGUGAAGGCAAACGGGGGAACAUGGCCACCACUGGAAAAAGUGGAAGAUGGAAAGUUAGUGAUCUGAAUCUGAACCUUUCAUUAGACAUCUCUGCUCUGAGGGACCAUCUGUGGGGUGAGAAGAAAUUGGGCUCAGUGCUUACCAUGUGGAAAGGGAGGAAGGGCUCUCCACAUGGGACACAAGGGACAGCCAUGAAGGACAGAGGCUGACGAGACCUCCCAGGGUGAGCUCCUUCCAGCACUGGCUGGUACCUGUUGCUUCUGCAAAUGUUCCCCAGACCCUCUGCACUCUCGCAGGUCAGAGUAAAAAAAGGUUGGAUUCUUUCAUUUUAAAAAAAGUUUGAGACAGGGGGUGAGGUUAGAACUGACAUGCAGAAGUGGCAAGUCCU
rnacentral:lncRNA from 10 species